rnacentral:rRNA from 2 species
GAGUUGUAAUUUGCAGAGGAUGUUAUGGAAUCUGUGUGGACUCAAGUCCUUUGGAAAAAGGCGCCAUGGAGAGUGACAGUCUCGUACUUUCCAAUACAUUUUCCAUGUAUAACUCCUUCAAAGAGUCGAGUUGUUUGGGAAUGCAGCUCUAAGUGGGACGUAAAUUUGUUCCAAAGCUAAAUACCGGCUAGAGACCGAUAGCGCACAAGUAGAGUGAUCGAAAGAUGAAAAGCACUUUGAAAAGAGAGUUAAAAAGCACGUGAAAUUGUUGAAAGGGAAGCUUAUGUCAUCAGAAAUGGUGUCGUUGUUCAGCCUUUUGGUGUAUUCAAUGAUGACCAGGCUAGCAUCAGUUUGAAUAGUUGGAUAAAAGCUUGGAAAUGUAACUCCCUCGGGAGUGUUAUAGUCCGAGACAUCAUGCAGCUCAUUCAG